AUGAACAAUACUAGUCGUUUGAAGAAACUUCAUAGCAUUACUAUACCUUCCCUAUUCAUUACGGAUUGGUUAUUUGUCAGUACGGGUUUAGCUUAUGAGGUGUUUGGAAGUCCUAGGCCAAACGAGUAUUUCACGGAAAGCCGGCAAGGAAUUCCGUUAAUAACCGACCGUUAA
rnacentral:rRNA from 1 species